UGGGGAAUAUUGCACAAUGGGGGAAACCCUGAUGCAGCGACGCCGCGUGAACGAAGAAGGUAUUCGUAUCGUAAAGUUCUGUCCUAUGGGAAGAUAAUGACAGUACCAUAGAAGAAAGCUCCGGCUAAAUACGUGCCAGCAGCCGCGGUAAUACGUAUGGAGCAAGCGUUGUCCGGAAUUAUUGGGCGUAAAGGGUACGCAGGCGGUUUAAUAAGUCGAAUGUUAAAGAUCGGGGCUCAACCCCGCAAAGCAUUGGAAACUGAUAAACUUGAGUAGUGGAGAGGAAAGUGGAAUUCCUAGUGUAGUGGUGAAAUACGUAGAUAUUAGGAGGAAUACCAGUAGCGAAGGCGACUUUCUGGACACAAACUGACGCUGAGGUACGAAAGCGUGGGGAGCAAACAGG
rnacentral:rRNA from 1 species